rnacentral:lncRNA from 1 species
GGAAGGAUAAAUAAAAAUUACCUUUAAUGAAGAAGAGGCUGACAGGAUCUUAUGCAUUCCUUUACCAUGUCCACCACAGGAGGACAGGUUGGCAUGGCGAGGUGAGGCUUCUGGGGAAUACUCGAUAAGGAGUGGGUACAAAAUACUAAUACAAGAAAUACACCCGACUACUCUCAACAAUGAACAACAUGCUUACAACCCCUUUUAUAAAAGACUUUGGCUCUUGGAUCUGCCUUCUAAAAUAAAAAUUAUGAAUUGGAGGAUUUUUAUCAGUUAUUUGCCUACUCAAUACAAUCUAUACCAAAGGAGAUAGGUGGGAUCUGUGAACUGUCCCAAAUGUACAGGCAAAGCAGAAAAUGUUGAGCAUGCUUUUCGAGAUUGUUUAGCUGUAAAAGAAAUUUGGGGAAAGUUAGGUAUAGAAUGGCCACAGGAACUAAACAAGGGUCAGUUUAAAGAUUGGAUGCUAUACCUCUAUUACAGCGUCUCAAUACAAAAAUGUCGAGUAAUAUCCUGUUCAUUUUGGGCCAUGUGGAUAGCUAGGAACAAAUACCUACAUGAGGGGAUACUACAAAAUGGAUCUGACAUAGCAUGUUUCAUCACGAGUUAAAUACAGGAAUUGGAGGAACUUAACAAGAGGUUACCUGGUUGAAGAGUGGAGGGAGAGCGUUGGAGAUCGCCGAAGGAGUCGUAUGUGAAAAUCAACUUUGAUGCUGCUUUUCACAAACAAAGCAAAAGUUCAUGUUCGAGGAUAGUGGUCAGGGAUUCAAGUGGGAGGGUUCUGAAUUUUACCAUGCGCCUGAAUGAGCACAUACCAACUGGUUUUGUUGCAGAGGCAAUUGUGUGUGUCCAGGCGGUUCAGUUAGGGCCGGAUUUUGGAAUCAUAAAGGCUGAAAUUGAAGGCAAUGUGUUGUCAGUAAUAAAGGUGAGAAUAGGGAAUACAGAUCAAUCUGAAAUUAGUGCCUAUGUAUUAAGCGUUAGAAUGCUAAGCUCUAAUUAUGAAGCAUGCUUGUUUAGAAACACAUCGAGAUAGGCAAAGAAAGUGGUGCAUGCAUUAGCAGUGGAGGAGUUAAAAGGAACAGGGGGUACUUAUCUACAAAAUGGAUUUCCUCGGUCGACUGCUAUGGAGGUAGAGGAUGAUCGCCGAAGAGCAUCUCUGAGAGAGUAAGUGGCGUAAUAAGGAUUGCAUGGUGGAUAGAACAAAAGAAUCGAUCAAGUUUGAAAAGGGUUACUGUCAGUUAGGGGUUUAUUGAGUGAAACCUCAGUCAAAAUGGUCUCUUGAUGAACAAAGUGGAUGGGUUCAGUGGGGGUACCUCGGAAUCAAGCUGGUUGAAGAAGACAUCGGCUUUUGUGAGGAGUUUUGGACUCUUGAGAGAGGUGCAUCCGGUUUCUAGCAUGAGUAUCGACGAACGGACAAUCAGUCGGUGAACGGGAACUGCUGGGUACUGGAUGUUUCAAGAGGAGUUUCGAUCGUGGAAAGGCUGGCUUCUGAUUAGGGACGUUUGUUUGGUUCUUUCUUUUUGUUUUAAGAAACCGAUUGGGUUCCUUCAGGGUUUGCUUUAAUUUCUUGUUUUUUAUUUUUAUUUUUUAUUCUUUUGAAAUAAAUGCAAGCCA